rnacentral:misc_RNA from 1 species
UAUAUCUUAUGAUGAAGCAAGGGACUUCAUUUCUCAAAGAUGCUUUGAUUGGCUUAGAGAAAGGGAUCAGCUCCGAGCAGAAAUGGAAGCUGGGAAUGUCUUCCAAGGAAUGCGGGAAGCAGUUAUUAGAUUUCCUCCUACAUACAAGUUUGACAAACAUCAACCUGGUUUAGCAGGUUAUGAUUCAGGUGAAAAAAAGCGUGUCCCUGCAUGGUGUGAUAGAAUACUUUACCGGGAUAGCCGGUCAACUCAGGUGUCUGAAUCCAGUUUAGACUGUCCUAUUGUCUCUCUGAUAUCACAGUAUGAUGCUUGCAUGGAUGUCACUGAUAGUGAUCACAAGCCUGUGCGUUGCAUAUUUAGUGUUGAUAUUGCACGAGUUGAUGAGUCAGUUAGGAGACAAGAAUUUGGGGACAUAAUGAAAUCGAAUGAGGAAAUUAGACACUUGCUUGAAGAACAAUGCAAGAUUCCAGAAACUAUUGUCAGCACAAAUAAUAUAAUCCUUCAAAACCAGGAUACAACUAUUUUGCGUAUCACAAAUAAAUGUGGGAAAAAUGUUGCUCUAUUUGAAAUUAUUUGUGAA